AUCAAACUUGGGCAGUAUCUUCUGACCCCAGCCAGAGCAGCUGGGGGCAUUAGUGGUGUUGCCUUUUCAUUCAUACGCUUUCAUGUUCCACUUUGUGAGGGCUGUGCCUUUGUUGGUGUGUUCAAACAUGUCAAGGUCUGCUAACAUUUUCAUUUAGUCCUGCAAACAGAGCUCAGUGUUUUGUUUUGUCCAUUAGGUGACUUCGACUGCAAAGUUGAAGACCAAUUCACGUACUUCCCACUGGUUUGAGAAAGCAGCCAUCUCACUGAGGGAACAGGAGGAGAAGGCUUUACAGUAUAAAAAUUGUGCCUGAUGUGCCAGGAAAGUAACUCCAGCAAGGGAGAAGCAGAGAGAUUUUAAGAAUCAAACAUCAAGCCAAGAUUCUGUCCAAAAGGAGAUGUUUGCCACAGACACAAGACUCAUGAGUAAUUAUGAAACAGAAAGGAGUGUGGAGCACAAGUGACUAAACACCCCCCAAAAAAGAUCAGAGCAGACAAAUUGUGUCUGUACGUUUUAUAAUGAAUUUGUACUCCUCGAUGAGGCAUUUGAGGGAGUCUCCCAAGAUGCAGGCACCAACGACACCCAAGGAUCUUCUCUCCACCAGGAAUGAAUUCCUCUCUGCCCUCCCCUACUACUUCCACCUCUGUCUCUGGCCUUUCCAGGCCAUCUUGGUUCUUGUCCUCCGCGGCUGGAUGCCUGCACCUGCGCAAUGACUUUCCUGUAACGAGGAUGAGAAGUUAAACCUAUGAGCCCCCUGUUUUAGUGCAUAAGGAUUGGUGAGGACUAACUAUUCCCCCUGGGAUUGUGGAAAUGAGCCAGUGAUCUCCUCGGCACAAAUCUGUCCUUUUAUGCAAAAUAUUAUUAGGUUUUCUAGAGCUCUGCCUCGAUAAAAACCUUCCCUAAUCCAGUACAUUUCAAUAGAUGAAAUGUCUGCUACUGCCAGCCUUUUCUCAAUGCGAAAGUUUCUCUCUUUGGGGUUGACCAUCCCGUCCGUGUCCUAUGGACAGUUAUAGUUUAAGUGAUUCCACGUAUUAUCAAAACAACGAAUCACAACAUAAGCGAUGGCAGAGGGGGGAGUGUCAGGCUCAGAAAUCUCAGAAAUGUCUCAGAAAGUAUCUGCCCUAGAAAGAUGGCUAAGGGGUGUGUGUGUGUGUGUGUGUCUCAGGGCUUUCCUAGUAC
rnacentral:lncRNA from 12 species